GAAAUCAAACAAUCCAGCAGGAUUUAUUGAUUGAGAACAAUUGCUUUUAAAUACAGUCUAGUAGCCGGGACUGUUAACAGUCUUUUUCGUUCAAUUAGUUCAGUUGGUUUGAAUUAGACACUUGGCUAUUAGCUAAGAAAAAUAAAUGCUAUUGCCAUUCAGCAUUAAAUCCCCCUCCCUUCUUCCCCCUACACUAACGCAUGGCAGAGCUACCCAGCAAAAGAGAUUCUUGAGGGUGUUCCAACUGUUUGCAGGGAAGGGAGCCUUACAGGAAACCCAAGUCCAUCCAACUCCCAAAUGGGAGCCCAUCUCAGCCUAAGGUCUGGAAUGAGGGGUGGGGGAUGGGGACAGAUUAUCCAAGUUUCUCGCACAGAACCUGGCAACUUACCCAGGGUCUAGCCUGACAGUAGAUGGUACUUCCAAAGCCAGAUUUCACAUUCAGGCCAUAGGCCAUUGUAGAAGGUGUUAUAUUUACAGUAGAAUCUGUCUUUUUUUUUUUUGCUUUUUAAAGGCCGCAACUGUUGGCAUAGGGAAGUUCCCAGGCUAGGGGUAGAAUUGGAGAUAUAGCUGCCAACCUACACCACAGCCACAGCAAUGUGGGAUCUGAGUCACAUCUGUGACCUACACUACAACACACAACAGCACUGGAUCCCCAACCCACUGAGCAAGGCCAGGGAUCGAACUUGCAUCCUCAUGGUUACAAGAUGGAUUUGUUUCUGCUGCGCCAAAAGGGGAACUCCUAGAAUGUGUUUUGAUAAAAAGAACCACCAUCUAUCCUGUUACUCAAAUGAGAAACCUGGGAAUUAUCCAUAGAGUCUCACCUUUUCUAUCAAAUGGGUCCCCAAACCUGUGAAUUCUAUGUCCUGCGUCUCUUCUCAAUUUGACCCCUGCCAUCUCUACCUCUUCAGGGAGGGCCCCCCCCUCCAUGAUUUCUUACCUAGAUCAGUGCUUUUCUGUCCUUAAUUGGCAUCCCUACAUAAUUUCCCUCUACCCACCAGUCCUGAAAACCAGGCGGUAUUGGUUUUCUUGGCUGUCAUGACAAACAGCGCAGACUGUGGGGGAGGGGUAAGCAAGAGAGAUUUAUUUUUCUCCUCCUGGAGGCUGGAGGUGCAAGAUCAAGGGGUCCCUAGUAUUGGUUUCUUCCAAGGUCUCUCUCCUUGGAUUGCAGAAAGCCACCUUAUUGCUGUGUCCUCAGGUGGGGGCCCCCUUGGGCUGUGUGUCAUCUAUGACCUAAUCUUCUGAAAAAAUCGGUCAUGGUGGGUUAGUGCCCAUCCUAGUGGCCUCUUUUUACGUCCAUCACCUCUGUAAAGGCUCUUUCUCCAUAGACAGUCAUAUCUUGAGGUUAGGACUCAAUAUGUGAAUUUCAAAUGAACACAUUUCAGGCUAAAAUAGGGAGAUUUCUAAGUUAAAAAGGUAAGCAGUCCACUCCACUGCAUAUGCCCUUCAAUAGAUCCCUGUGACCUUCAGGCUAAAGUCAAGUUCCUUAGCUUCCCUCGGGAGGCCUUCUAAACGCUGGGACCCUGAUUAUCCUUCUGCCGAUCUCCUUCCUACCCUAAAACUAGAUUUCUAUUGCUGUGCCAGGCGCCAUUCUAAAACCUUAUGAAUACUGACUAAUUUCCUCCUUGAGGAACUGAGAUGCAGAGACAGUGUUGUCGUCCUGCACUCCAGGUGGGGAAUCCACCGGGUGAGCCCCGUGUGUUAAUAACCUCUCAAUCCUCCAUACCUAGCCCAGGGUCUAGGACGACGCCGACGCUCAUAAGAGAUUGUUAAAUGCAGUAUUUCCAAGCCAGGUUUUGGCCUUCCAUGCGGCGUGUUGGCCCCAUCAAAACCUGUGUGGGGUCAGUGAAGGCAGGCCCCCUUGGGGUGAAAUUCUAAAGCAGGUGUGAACACAUGACUGAGCAAAUGACCACCAUGUCCUGUGACCAAAAACACCUGUUUCCAUCAGAGGGUGACAGAGUCCAGUGGCCAUAGUCCACACUCAGUUUAGCACCAAGGGACAAGAACACCAGGCUGGAAGGGACAAUGGGAAUUCAGAGGCUCUGCAUGCCCUGAUGGGAAGGGAAGCCAGCUGUCCGUUUCAAAGAAGCAAGGCAGGAUGGCCAGGGAGGUCUUCAAAAUGCUGAGUGCACAACACACAAAUUAACUCACUGAUAGAAGGUUUUUGGCAUUUACAUUUCAUUUCCCACCUUUUGGGAUCCAGACAAUGAUGUGUUUGGGCUGGAGACAAGAUCAGGCUCAAGCCAGAAGGGUUUCCUCCACCCCCGCCUCCACAGAGCUGCCUUAAGAGGCUUUGGAAAUAGAGUGGGGCUUGAGAACCUUGUUUUUCCUGAGAUAACUUAGAGAAAUGCUUGAGGAUUGGAAUGGGGACACUUUCAGCAUUUGGGGGUUUGGAAAACAAUACUAAUCUUGUGAGUCCUCUUUCUCUUUUUCCUUCUUUCAACUCUUAGAUUGUAAGAGGCUCAUAAGAGAGUCGGUUUUAAACUAAGACAUUGCCGGAAGACACCACACCUAUUUCAGCGGGAGGUAACCCAGCUUAGUAGCUGCAUAAGGAACCUCAAGUCCCCAAGGACUCAGACUAAGACUGAAAAGCCUAAGAAAUCAGGGAAGAGGGUUCCAACACUUUAACCCAAGCAUUUGGAAUUUUGGAAUCUUAAUUUAGAAGGACAAAAAUCCUGUGAUCUUGUCAAUUAAAGAAAUCCUUAACUGCUUGGAGAUUCAA
ensembl:lncRNA